GUGCUGACUUCGGCAGCACGUACGCUAAAAUUGGAACUAUUCAGAGAAGACUGGCUUGGCCUCUGUGCAAGGAUAACGCGCAAAUUCAUGAAGUGUUUUUUU